rnacentral:rRNA from 1 species
AUGAAUUCUAACUUCCGCUCUACUCAUCCAUCUGCAGAGGGGAAUAGCAGGUUAUGCGUCUCAGUGAGAGACUACUACUGUUACAUGCUGCAGACACGACCUGGGAUAUUCAAUCCCAUACUCUGUGGAGCACGAUUGCUCCAGCAAUGGGGGGUCGACAUGUACAUCAAGAGUGAGAGUUGUAGGUUGAAAUGGUAUAGGAAGAACCAAACAAAGAUCCGUGCCGACCUGUAUAAAGGAGUUGUUGAUGCAAUUACAUCCGGGGAGACCCGGGCAAGCACUGUUAGAGUAAGGAUAGUG